rnacentral:misc_RNA from 1 species
GGAAACCCCAUCACCACAUUAUCUUUCUCUGCUGUUUCUCUAUCUAUGCAUGGGGUCUCUUCCCUUUCACACUACACCAAGCCCAAAUUUCUUCCACCCCAAACCCACUAAAUCUCACAAAUUUUCGCAAACCCAUGUCCCCAAACUUCAAUUACGACGAUUUUCUCCACCCAAAUCUUACGUCCACCACAUUUCUUCUCUAUGCAAACAAGGACAAAUUCAAGCAGCUUUGGACCUACUUACACAGAUGGAUCUUCGAGGUCUCCUGAUUGGACCCCAAAUCUACGGUACACUACUUCAGGGAUGCGUAUACGAGCGAGAUCUUUACACCGGUCAGCAAAUUCACGCUCGAAUUAUUAAAAAUGGUUAUUUAAUUGCAAGAAAUGAGUAUAUUGAGACGAAAUUAUUAGUUUUUUAUGCGAAAUGCGAUCGUUUAGAGAUUGCAAAUAGUUUGUUCGGCAGAUUGCGAGUAAAGAACGUGUUUUCUUGGGCUGCUAUUACUGGUUUGCAUUGUAGAAUGGGUUUUCAUCAAGAUGCUUUAAUGCGUUUCUGUGAAAUGAUAGAUAGUGGCCUUUCGGCUGAUAAUUUUAUGGUGCCUAAUUUGUUAAAGGCUUGCGGCGCAUUGCAGUGGAUUAGGUUUGGGAGAGGAGUUCAUGGAUAUGCAGUGAAGAUGGGUUUGGAUGGGUGUGUUUUUGUCUCUAGUAGUCUGGUAGAUAUGUACGGAAAAUGCGGAUUUUUAGGGGAUGCAAGGCAAGUGUUUGAGAAUAUGCCUCAGAAGAAUGUGGUAACAUGGAAUUCGAUGAUUGUGGGUUAUGUUCAAAAUGGGUUCUAUCAGGAAGCAAUUGAGGAGUUUUAUAAUAUGAGAUUAGAAGAUAUUGAGCAAAGCCGAGUUACUUUAUCGGGUUUUCUUUCUGCUUCAGUUAAUUUAGGUGCAAUUGAAGAGGGUAAGCAAGGGCAUGCCAUUGCCAUCUUAGGUGGAUUUGAAUUGGACAAUAUCUUGGGUAGUUCAAUUUUGAACUUCUAUUCUAAGGUUGGGUUGAUUGAAGAUGCUGAGUUGGUUUUUAGUAGGAUGGUUGAAAAAGAUGUUGUGUCAUGGAAUUUGCUCAUUUCUUGUUAUGUUCAUCGUGAGCAAAUUGAAAAGGCACUUGAUGUGUGUCGUCUGAUGAGAUUAGAGAAUAUGAAAUUUGACUCAGUGACGCUUGCCUCCAUAUUAUCUGCCUGUGCUAGUACCAAAAAUAUAAAACUUGGUAGAGAGGGGCAUUGUUAUUCUAUUAGAAACAAUCUCGAAUCUGAUGCAGUAGUUGUCAGUGGCAUCACAAACAUGUAUGCCAAAUGUGGGAGAAUCGAUGAUGCAAGGGUAGUUUUCAACACCACAAUAAACAAAGAUCUUACGUUGUGGAAUACAUUAUUGACUGCUUAUGCUGAACUGGGUUUAGUUGGUGAGACCUUGAGGCUUUUCUAUCAGAUGCAGUUGGAGAGUGUGCCACCAAACGUGACAUCUUGGAAUGCUUUGAUUUGCGGAUUUCUCAGAAAUGGCGAGAUCAACAAGGCCAGGGAUAUGUUCUCAGAGAUGCAGGCAGUUGGUGUCCAUCCUAACCUGGCUACUCUGACUUCUUUUAUCUCUGGCCUUGUUGAUAAUGGUUUUUGCAAUGAGGCAGUUUUAAUGUUCCAGAAAACGCAAGAAUAUGGGAUAAGACCCAAUGUUGUAAGCAUCAUUAACACAAUCUCAGCUUGCACGGAUGUGGCAUUGUUGCUGUAUGGAAGAGCCAUUCAUGGCUAUAUUAUAAGGCAUGAGCUCUGGUCGCAAGUGCCAAUUGCAAAUGCUUUGGUGGAUAUGUAUGUUAAAUGUGGAAAAAUAAACGAGUCCAAAAGGGUGUUUGGCAUGAUUUUAAGCAAGGCAUCACCCAUAUAUAAUGCGAAUGAUUCAUUCCUGUCACUAACACAUUGCCUGGUGCAGGCAUAAAAGCUAUAGCCCCAAGCAAGUUUGUAGAUGAGGAAGGAAUAGAAUCAGAUAGUACAUUCUUUGCCAAUAUCUGCUUGCAACCAAGAGGGCUGAUAAGUGAACUUCUGGACCUAUUGUGAUAUAGUAUCUGAACAUCAUGUCGAAGCAAGUAUGGAGAAUUGGUGAUGUGUGUUUUUUCUUUUUUCAGGUACUGGAAUCUGGAUGAAGCUUUCAGGUUUAUUCUCCCUGUGCCACUUGAGCUACACUUGCUGUAAAAUUGAAUUCUGGUUUUACAUAUCCAAACAACCUUUCAAAUGCAUAUCCAGGCAGAGAUGGUCAGAUAGGCAUAAAAUGUAAGGGAAUUAAAAGGAAACAAGAGCGCCUAAAAAAGAUUCCUAUAUGCAUCUGAAUGCAGAUCAGCUAUGAAGAACAUCCUGCAGUUUUUGCACACUGUGGAUCAGGAUGACAACCAAAAUUUUAGAAAAUCCAUGGACAUUGGCUUUAUGGGAAAUUGAAAAUGUGUUAUGGUGGAAUAUGUUAUAAUCUGGAGCACAAGUUUGUGAUGGUGAGGACAAGGAAGUACAGUCCAGAGGUAUAUGAGGGAGGUUCUCUGUAAAUAGAAAGUAAGACUACAAUGUGCAAAAUUAUCAGAUAUUUUCCACAAGCGUGAAGAAAAUUGAAGCUUUAUCGGUUGCAUGGAAUUUAAAACUAAACCUUUGGACUACCAAUGAACCGAUUUCCUGAAUAAGAAGGACCUUAAGUUAUAACUUAUCAACUAAUAUUAGCUUUGACAUGCGGUCCUUUUGUAACGAGGUUCUACCUUGUAAUGCUAUUAAUAUUAAUGUCAUCCGAUUCCCUGAA